CACUGGUGGCUCUGGUGGCACUGGGGGCUCUGGUGGCUCUGGUGGCUCUGGCAGUGCGGGACAAACGCAGACGAGGAGCAGGAAGGAUAAAUGAGGUGCCAUAAAAGUGACUGUUAUUAUUCAGAGAAUUCUGCUGAAGAGCAUUGGAGUAAUUAAAUCAUAAUUGCUUAUUACUCAGCUGAAGUGACAUUGUUUGGUCACCCCAGCGAGGCACACGCCCUCCUUGGUGGUUAAUUGUGCUUGUUCCCUGCGAGUUCUCCAACAAAACUUCCUUUAUUAGGACCCCAAAGCUCUGCAGAGCUGCUGGGAUCCUGCUGGCCUCUAAUUACAUCCCCCAGAUUUUCCUCUCAUCCCGAGGAGCCGACAGAAAAGAGCAGCAGCAGCUCCGGAGCAAGGCUGGGCUGGGAGGCAAAGCAGAGCCUGGGCAGCAGCUGGGCCAGGGCCAAACAAACCCCCCAAACUCUGCCUGGCUCUCCUGGAAUGUCUGCCAGCCCAGAACAAUGCCAGCAGCAGCAGGAGGAGGAAGGGCAGUCGGGGAAGGGUGGCUCUGGUGGCUUUGGUGGCUCUGGUGGCUUUGGUGGCUCUGGGAGGAGGUUUGAGCCUGGUGUGAGCGGUGCUGAAAGGGUUUUGCUCUCUGGGGUUUGGGGUUUGCAGCUGGGAAAUGGGGG